rnacentral:rRNA from 1 species
AUUGAACGCUGGCGGCAGGCCUAACACAUGCAAGUCGAACGGUAACAGAAAGCAGCUUGCUGCUUUGCUGACGAGUGGCGGACGGAUGAGUAAUGUCUGGGAAACUGCCUGAUGGAGGGGGAUAACUACUGGAAACGGUAGCUAAUACCGCAUAACGUCGCAAGACCAAAGAGGGGGACCUUCGGGCCUCUUGCCAUCGGAUGUGGCCAGAUGGGAUUAGCUAGUAGGUGGGGUAACGGCUCACCUAGGCGACGAUCCCUAGCUGGUCUGAGAGGAUGACCAGCCACACUGGAACUGAGACACGGUCCAGACUCCUACGGGAGGCAGCAGUGGGGAAUAUUGCACAAUGGGCGCAAGCCUGAUGCAGCCAUGCCGCGUGUAUGAAGAAGGCCUUCGGGUUGUAAAGUACUUUCAGCGGGGAGGAAGGGAGUAAAGUUAAUACCUUUGCUCAUUGACGUUACCCGCAGAAGAAGCACCGGCUAACUCCGUG